GGAAGGAUCAUUAACACAAAUAUCCAAAUAUCAAAAACUCAACGUGAACCAUAACGGUGCGUGGGAAGAAGUAUGGGCAAAGGAUGAACGAUGAGUGUGAAAGUCGAUACCAGCCAUUUUCUUCCAGCAUCGAGCACACGAAUGCGUCAAUAGUAUUGGGCAGUCGAUAGUGCUCUGCUGGUUAAGAACUUGCACGCUCCUUCAUCCAUAGGCGCAGGCAUUGUCUGACGACCUACGUAGCCUUGUAUUGUCAACCCCGACUGUUAACCCGAGCCGUUCUCUUUUGGUGUGUUCGCUUCGCGAUGGGUUUCAAUCUGUUGCAUGCAGCAAACAUGUCAAAAGAAGCGUUUUGCUCCCAACCCUUGUGCCUUUUUGAACGCAUCUGGUUGUCGCAUUUUUCACAAACCCCCUUCGGCAAAUGUCUAAUAUAACCCCUGGUCGAAAGACCAACAAUUCCGAAAUAAUCGUAAAGAACAACUCUUAACAACGGAUAUCUCGGCUCUCGUAUCGAUGAAGAACGCAGCAAAAUGCGAUACGUAAUGCGAAUUGCAGAAUUCCGUGAAUCAUCGAAUUUUUGAACGCAAAUGGCGCUCUUUGGAUAUUCCUUGGAGCACGCCUCUCUGAGUAUCGGUUCAACAAACUCAGCUCCCCUUCCUUUCGAGAAAGGUGUGUGUCUGGAGAGUGAGCGUCUCGGCUUAUCUUUGUGAGGCGGAGUCGCUUGAAAAUCAAGGAGUUAUACGAGAAGAUCACUGGUCUGAGUCGAUCACUUUUCAAGUGGUUGGCAGCCUAGGUCUUUGGCGUGGAUAAGGUGCUUGAAGGAAAGUCGAAUCAUUCGUGAUUCUUCACACAAUUCUUGAGCUCGAAACGCACACUGAUCAACUAGUGAGAAUGAGAAUGGCAAUCAGAUUGACAAAGUGCUUCUCAACAAUGUAUGACUCGAACCCUGUUUUGGAUUCGUCUCUCUCUCCAUCAGAGAUGGACGGAAAAGAAACAACAUACCCCUGAAUUUUAGAUCUCAGAUGAAGCGAGACUACCCGCUGAACUUAAGCAUAUUAUUAAGCGGAGGAAAAGAAACUAACAAGGAUUCCCCUAGUAACGGCGAGUGAAGCGGGAAUAGCUCAACCUUAAAAUCGGCCGGCCUAACGGCUUGUCGAAUUGUAGGCUAGAGACGUAAUGUCAGCGUGCGACCUGGGUAUAAAUCCUUGAAACAGGGUAUCAUAGAGGGUGAGAAUCCCGUCUUUGACUUAGGUCAGCCGUGUACGACAUGCGUUCUAAGAGUCGUGUAGCUUGGGAAUGCUGCACAAAAUGGGAGGUAAAUUUCUUCUAAAGCUAAAUAUUGACGAGAGACCGAUAGCGAACAAGUACCGUGAGGGAAAGAUGAAAAGAACUUUGAAAAGAGAGUUAAAAAGUACUUGAAAUUGUUAGGAGGUAAGCACUGGAAACCAGUCGUGCCUGGCGAUAUAUUUACCAUUUACGUUUGAAGACUUCUGUGUCGAGAGUACUACCUCUCGGCGUUGGGUCGGAAAGACGCAGGUGGGUCCUGUAUCGUCGCGGUGAGUCAGAAUCAAUUCGAGCUGCGGCAGAAAGCUGUCGGGAAGGUGGGAGGAGUGUGCUUGCACAUGACUCUGUUAUAGCCUGACAUGCCAUACCGCGGCUUGGAUUGAGGUACGGGCUUUAAGUCCGCGUGUCAUCUGGGUUCAGUUCCCUGCGAGCUGUCUCUGUCGUCGACAACAAGUUGUACCGGUGGAGCGGUCAGUACUGGUUCGGUUCUCAUGGUGGCAUUCGCGAUUCUGACGAAAUGGUUGUCAGUGACCCGUCUUGAAACACGGACCAAGGAGUCUAACAUAUAUGCGAGUACCAAGGUGGCAAACCUUUGUGCGUAAUGAAAGUAAAGGAAGUCCUUGCGGCUUCUGAGAUAGGAACCGUUCCUUCGGGGGCGGGGCACUAUCGACCGAUCAAUCACUUGUGAAAGAUUUGAGUAAGAGCAUAUCUGUUGGGACCCGAAAGAUGGUGAUCUAUGCCUGAACAGGGUGAAGCCAGGGGAAACUCUGGUGGAAGCUCGUAGCGAUACUGACGUGCAAAUCGUUCGUCUGAUUUGGGUAUAGGGGCGAAAGACUAAUCGAACCAUCUAGUAGCUGGUUCCCUC
rnacentral:misc_RNA from 1 species